AAUCAACGCUGGCGGCGUGCCUCAGACAUGCAAGUCGAACGGUGUCUUCGGACAUAGUGGCGCACGGGUGCGUAACACGUAUGCAACCUACCUUACAUUGGGGGAUAGCCUUUCGAAAGGGAGAUUAAUACCGCAUAAGACAGUAGCUGGGCAUCCAGCAGCUGUUAAAGAUCUAUCGAUGUAAGCUGGGCAUGCGUCCAAUUAGCUAGUUGGUGAGGUAACGGCUCACCAAGGCAAUGAUUGGUAGGGGAACUGAGAGGUCAAUCCCCCACACUGGCACUGAGAUACGGGCCAGACUCCUACGGGAGGCAGCAGUAGGGAAUAUUGGGCAAUGGACGCAAGUCUGACCCAGCCAUGCCGCGUGCAGGAUGAAGGCGUUAUGCGUUGUAAACUGCUUUAUACAGGAAGAAACGACUCUUGCGAGAGGCAUUGACGGUACUGUAUGAAGAAGCCCCGGCUAACUUCGUGCCAGCAGCCGCCGUAACAC
rnacentral:rRNA from 1 species